rnacentral:tRNA from 1 species
GCCAACAUAGUUUAUACAAAACAUAAUUCUGAAGAUAUUAAAAAGACUAACUGCUCUGUUGACA